rnacentral:rRNA from 1 species
GCUCAGGACGAACGCUGGCGGCGUGCCUAAUACAUGCAAGUCGAGCGGAGUUGAAGAGAAGCUUGCUUCUCUGAUACUUAGCGGCGGACGGGUGAGUAACACGUAGGUAACCUGCCUAUAAGACUGGGAUAACAUUCGGAAACGGAUGCUAAUACCGGAUAUGCAUUUUGAUCGCAUGAUCGGAAUGGGAAAGACGGAGCAAUCUGUCACUUAUAGAUGGACCUGCGGCGCAUUAGCUAGUUGGUGAGGUAAUGGCUCACCAAGGCGACGAUGCGUAGCCGACCUGAGAGGGUGAUCGGCCACACUGGGACUGAGACACGGCCCAGACUCCUACGGGAGGCAGCAGUAGGGAAUCUUCCGCAAUGGACGAAAGUCUGACGGAGCAACGCCGCGUGAGUGAUGAAGGUUUUCGGAUCGUAAAGCUCUGUUGCCAGGGAAGAACGCUAUGGAGAGUAACUGCUCCAUAGGUGACGGUACCUGAGAAGAAAGCCCCGGCUACUACCG